GGAGGAGUGCCCGUUGUCAGCCACCCACAGUUGUCGCUAUCGGAAAGUGGUUUGGAAGAUUGGCUAACAUCCAGGUGUGAGGAAUCAUUAGCAGGGAGGCCAAGUUUGGGGAGCUUGAGAGGAGUUAUGGACCAAGAGGAGGGUUUUUUUGAGAAUCCAGAGGCCCUUAUUGUCUGCUUCCUUUCUCAGCUGAACCCCCACCCCCAGAGCCCCCAGCAGGGCCCUCCGAGGUGGAGCAGCAGCUACAAGCGGAGGCUGAGCACCUGCGGAAGGAGCUGGAGAGUCUGGCAGGACAGCUCCAAGCCCAGGUGCAAGACAAUGAGGGCUUGAGUCGCCUGAACCGGGAGCAGGAGGAGAGGCUGCUGGAACUGGAGCGGGCGGCCGAGCUCUGGGGGGAGCAGGCAGAGGCGCGCAGGCAAAUCCUGGAGACCAUGCAGAACGACCGCACCACCAUCAGCCGCGCACUCUCCCAGAACCGGGAGCUCAAGGAGCAGCUGGCUGAGCUGCAGAGCGGAUUCGUAAAGCUGACUAAUGAGAACAUGGAGAUCACCAGCGCACUGCAGUCGGAGCAGCACGUCAAGAGGGAGCUGG
rnacentral:sRNA from 1 species